rnacentral:lncRNA from 1 species
GUAGUGCCCCUAAAACUCAGGCGGUGCCCUGUUGUGGUGGAGGUAUUAGUACUCUGAGAAAGUCAUGCGAUUUGAUGCACACUACACUUUUAUAUUUCCUUGCUUUGACAGUUGCCAUGCUUGAAAAUAAAUAUCAAUUAAUUACAUGUGUAUUAGCUUAAGAUUUAUUUCAUAUUUUUAUUAGAAUCUCAUGUCAUAUAAUUCAUGAUGUUUGUGGGUAACAUCCCUGAAAACCCUCACGAGACAACACUCAUCCACUAGGGUAACCUAGGGGUUUAACGGCUUGUUGCACAUGCUAAGUGCAAUCGUGAUUCCUACGAAAGUGAGUACUUAUCUUAGUUUUAUGUCUUUAGCUUCAAUAAAAAGUCAUAGGUUAAACCACACCUUUUGCACUCUCAUUUUAGUGUUUGCUCGUUAAUUGCUAGAGACUAGCAAUAAGCUAGUUAGGGGGUGUGAUGAGAGCACAAAAGUGCGAUCUAUACAUCCCUUAAAUUAGUAUUAUUGCUAACAAAAAAAUGAUAAAAGUACUGCAUUAAUAUUAUAUUUUUGUAGGGCGCAGGUGAUCGUAAAUCAAAGUUAAAUUUUGCAUUGGGUCCAAAAAUAUGCAUCACUACAGGUGAUCAGCCAACCGUUUGUAUCAACCCCAGUUGCACACUAGAAGGAGGUCAAGUUCAGCUUUCCACUUCAUCGCAGCUUCAGUCUUCUAUGAGCCCAAGCAUCUGAGCCGCGUGCAGCCCAUCCUCCCGCGUGGAAGAAUCACGAAGCAUCCUCCGCGUCUGCUUCUUCAGAGCGGCCCAACGUGUGACCCCUCAUCCAGUGUCUGUGCAACCUCCCAGCACCCAAAUCUCAUCCUUCGAUCCUGUCAUCCGAGUCCCAGUUCACAGCGCGUCCCAGCAUCCGCGUGCACCCUCCCAGAUUCUGCCUCAUCCGCGAGCCCAUCCACACGUCCGUGAUCUCAGCAUGUGC